rnacentral:rRNA from 1 species
AUUGAACGCUGGCGGCAUGCCUUACACAUGCAAGUCGAACGGCAGCACGGGAGCAAUCCUGGUGGCGAGUGGCGAACGGGUGAGUAAUACAUCGGAACGUGCCCAGUAGUGGGGGAUAGCCCGGCGAAAGCCGGAUUAAUACCGCAUGAGACCUGAGGGUGAAAGCGGGGGAUCGCAAGACCUCGCGCUAUUGGAGCGGCCGAUGUCAGAUUAGCUAGUUGGUAGGGGAAAGGCCUACCAAGGCAACGAUCUGUAGUUGGUCUGAGAGGACGACCAGCCACACUGGGACUGAGACACGGCCCAGACUCCUACGGGAGGCAGCAGUGGGGAAUUUUGGACAAUGGGCGCAAGCCUGAUCCAGCAAUGCCGCGUGCAGGAAGAAGGCCUUCGGGUUGUAAACUGCUUUUGUCAGGGAAGAAAUCUUCUGGGCUAAUACCCUGGGAGGAUGACGGUACCUGAAGAAUAAGCACCGGCUAACUACGUGCCAGCCGCCGCGGUAAUAC